AUUGAACGCUGGCGGCAGGCCUAACACAUGCAAGUCGAACGAGUGGCGGACGGGUGAGUAAUGUCUGGGAAACUGCCUGAUGGAGGGGGAUAACUACUGGAAAAGGUAGCUAAUACCGCAUACCAUCGGAUGUGCCCAGAUGGGAUUAGCUAGUUGGUGGGGUAAAGGCUCACCUAGGCGACGAUCCCUAGCUGGUCUGAGGGUAUGACCAGCCACACGGGAACUGAGACACGGUCCAGGCUCCUACGUGAGGCAGCAGUGGGGAAUAUUGCACAAUGGGCGCAAGCCUGAUGCAGCCACGCCGCGUGUAUGAAGAAGGCCUUCGGGUUGUAAAGUACUUUCAGCGGGGAGGCGUUACCCGCAGAAGAAGCACCGGCUAACUCCGUGCCAGCAGCCGCGGUAAUUC
rnacentral:rRNA from 1 species